rnacentral:rRNA from 1 species
UAAGGAAUAUUGGACAAUGGAGGCAACUCUGAUCCAGCCAUGCCGCGUGAAGGAAUAAGGCCCUAUGGGUUGUAAACUUCUUUUAGACGGGACAAAACCCCUUUACGUGUAAAGGGUUGAUGGUACUGUCAGAAUAAGCAUCGGCUAACUUCGUGCCAGCAGCCGCGGUAAUACGAAGGAUGCAAGCGUUAUCCGGAAUUAUUGGGUGUAAAGGGCGCGCAGGCGGGAUAAAAAGUCAGUGGUGAAAUCCUACAGCUUAACUGUAGAACUGCCUUUGAUACUUUUAUUCUUGAGUUCGGGAGAGAGAGACGGAAUUCCAGGUGUAGUGGUGAAAUACGUAGAUAUCUGGAAGAACACCAGUUGCGAAGGCGGUCUCUUGGUCCGACACUGACGCUGAGGCGCGAAAGCGUGGGGAGCAAAC